GGGGCGGUGGGGUAGCCUAAUGGAAUAAUCAUGCUGUCAUCAAAGGAGUUUUUAGUGGUGAGUUUAGUUUUACGUCACUUUUAGUAAUAUUCCAUCAAUAUUACGGCGGGGCACCGAAUGGGUUUGCAUCACACAUUGUACCCAUGUAGAACAAUCGAACCCGGGUCUUCAGCGUGACGAGCGAACGCUUUAACCACUAGGCUAUACCCCACCUGCCCAUUAAAGAGAGGAAACUAACUGGACUACAUGAAGCACUGACGUUGUUGUGUAAAGCAAAGUAUGUCGUUUAAAAAGUAUCAUGUUGUUUAAAGUUAGUAGGUUGUUUAAUACUAGUAUGUAACAAAAUAUAAAUACUCGGUUAUAAAAACACCACAGACA